AGCAAAGUCACUCUUUGGCCCGGGACACCUGUUUGGCAGCCUCACUAUGGGAGGCCCAAAGUGAUGUGGGGAGCUGUGUGCCAUUAAGGAUGAACCAUGACCAGUUCUACCAUCAUGUAAGAAUAACUCAGCCAUUUAGAAAAUCAUUCAGGGAUUAGAAAUAUCAGAAAACUUUUGGGCUUUUGUAAUAGGUCAUGUAGAGAUACAGUGAUAUGUUGGUGAUAGGUCAUGUAUAGAUAUAUGUUUGUAAUAGGUCAUGUAUAGAUAUAUGUUUGUAAUAGGUCAUGUAUAGAUAUAUGUUUGUAAUAGGUCAUGUAUAGAUAUAUGUUUGUAAUUGGUCAUGUAUAGAUAUAUGUUUGUAAUAGGUCAUGUAUAGAUAUAUGUUUGUAAUUGGUCAUGUAUAGAUAUAUGUUUGUAAUAGGUCAUGUAUAGAUAUAUGUUUGUAAUAGGUCAUGUAUAGAUAUAUGUUUGUAAUUGGUCAUGUAUAGAUAUAUGUUUGUAAUAGGUCAUGUAUGGAUAUAUGUUUGUAAUUGGUCAUGUAUAGAUAUAUGUUUGUAAUUGGUCAUGUAUAGAUAUAUGUUUGUAAUUGGUCAUGUAUAGAUAUAUGUUUGUAAUAGGUCAUGUAUGGAUACAGUGAUAUGUUUGCCCGAGAUGUGUUUCCGUCAGAGGCAGACAAUACAGUCCUACACUUACUUGUCUAUACA